rnacentral:lncRNA from 1 species
GAAAAAGUAAGCAAAAUAUUCUCUUUCCUUAAUGAGUUUACUUUCCACUAAGAGAAGACCCACACAUAGGGGAGUGGUAACCAGAGAGGAAGUGCUUCAGACCAGCAAGUCAGAUAUCCUAGUAAAUGAGGGAGAAGUGCAAAGGAUGGCUUUAGGGAUGUUAUCCAAAGCUUCCAGUUACUUGAACUGGUCAUUGUUUAGUGAAGAACAGUUAUGUGAAGUGGAAAAUACCAAAUCUUGUUCCUGACUUGCCAACUAACUCUGUUUGUCCUUGCUCAAGUUCAUUCAUCUGGAAGAGCUAGUUUCUGACAAAUGGGCAAUGCAGUAUGUUGGAGGAGGAGCCAACCAAAGUUCAAUAAAUCAAUGUUUAAGUGCUUUGCA